rnacentral:rRNA from 1 species
GGAGUACGAUGGCAAGGUUAAAACUCAAAGGAAUUGACGGGGCCCCGCACGACCAGGGGGGAAUCAGGCUUAAAUUCGACACAACGCGAAGAACCUCACCAAGGCUUGACAUAUAGCGAAAAGUGGCAGUGAUGUCAUGUCCCGCAAGGGCACUAUACAGGUGGGGCAUGGUUGUCGUCAGUUCGUGUCGUGAGAUGUUGGGUUAAGUCCCGCAACGAGCGCAACCCUCGUUCUGUGUUACCAGCAUUCAGUUGGGGACUCACAGGAGACUGCCGGGGUCAACUCGGAGGAAGGUGGGGAUGACGUCAAAUCCUCAUGCCCCUUAUGUCUUGGGCUGCACGCAUGCUACAAUGGCCGGUACAAAGUGCUGCGAGAUCGUAAGAUUGAGCGAAUCACAUAAAGCCGGUCUCAGUUCGGAUUGAGGUCUGCAACUCGACCUCAGGAAGUCGGAGUUGCUAGUAAUCGUAGAUCAGCACCGCUACGGUGAAUACGUUCCCGGGCCUUGUACACACCGCCCGUCACGUCACGAAAGACGGUAACACCCAAAGUUAGUGGCCCGACCGCAAGGGGGGAGCUACCUAUGGUGGGAUCGGUGAUUGGGAGCGAGGUCGUAACAAGGUAACC